UACGAAGGGGGCGAGCGUUGUCCGGAAUUAUUGGGCGUAAAGAGCUCGUAGGUGGCUUGUCACGUCGGGUGUGAAAGCUUGGGGCUUAACUCCAGGUCUGCAUUCGAUACGGGCUGGCUAGAGGUAGGUAGGGGAGAACGGAAUUCCUGGUGUAGCGGUGAAAUGCGCAGAUAUCAGGAGGAACACCGGUGGCGAAGGCGGUUCUCUGGGCCUUACCUGACGCUGAGGAGCGAAAGCGUGGGGAGCGAACAGG
rnacentral:rRNA from 1 species